GUAAUUACCUACAGAAUGUUUAGGGGGACUGGGAGCAAAAACAAUCCCCUCUUUCAGAAACCAAUCCUGGAAGGUGCUGGAAGGUUGUACUAGCUGUGAAAGUCAGAGGCCACCAGGCAGCUAUCGUGAGACCAAAGGCAGUAGUCAGCUCAGGCAAGCCGGUUUCCUUAUUUAUGUCAAAUUCCUCAGUCUUGGGUCUCCUUAUCUUUUAAAUAAGGAGUUAGAAUAGAAUUUGAGGGCUGUUCACUCAGGCAUCCAUGGUGGCUGCAGCAUAAGGAGUGUGUGGUGUCAGGAUGGGAAGGGCAACAUGGAGACUGCAUGGCCAUUGACGUCUGAAAGUCUCUGGUUGCCAAAAAGAAUCUAUCUACAACAGCAUUCAUCCUGACAGCAGCCAACAGGCAGCCUAGACCUGGCAUGCCACAGCUCCUCUAGGCUCUGAACCCCUCUCAGCUGAGCCUGGUAGAUGCCAGCUGACCGGCUGCAGCCCCUGAGUAGAGGUUGGCUGUCCUAGCAAUAGAGUAGGGCGGGGGCACAGCAGACAUGGGACCAUCAUCUGGAUUCCUAGACGUGCAACUGCAAGUUUGGGAUGUGAUGGAGAACGAGCUGCACAAGUCUCUGGGCUCCUGUAAAAGAUUGGUUGCAGAAAUGUCCUCAGAGUUGUUGGGAGGAUUCAAUAGAAGAUGCAUGCAAAGCACCUGGCUGAAUGCCCAGAGCCCUGCAGACACUCAGGAAUGAGUAACCAUGCAGAUUUUCUACGCCUUUAGACCAGAUAUUCUAAGAAACUUCCUGCUAUAGAUUAACUAGAUCCUGAUUGUGUUUUUCAUUUCCAGGCUUAGAAGAAAUAAAGGAAAUAUCCCAGGAGCAAAAACAAAACACACACAUGCUCCUCUCAAGAGUCACUGGCAUCCCAGCUGAAAAGUCAGCUCUACACCUAUGGGACCUAUGGGCCUGUUUCUGAGCUCUGUUUUGUCUCUUUGGUCUGAGUGUCUAUCUGAGGCCAAUACCACAGUACCAAAUGCGAUUGCUUUAGAGGAAGUCUUGAAAUCAGAUGAGGCUGAAGGCUGUUGAAUUAUGAGAAAGCGUCAUUUGAAGAGAUGGAUGCCUGUGACCCCGCCAGGCUCUGCAGACCUGGAGGCGGCUCCAGAUCUGGGGUGUGCGGCGCAUUGUGUGUCCAACAGGUGAUUAACUCUGCUGGUGACAUGUGUUUUUAGAUAUGUGUGUCUUUUCUAUGAGAGUAAAUCAUAAAGCCCACAGGAUGUGCAAGCAGCCAUUCUCGCUGGCCAGGCGGUGUUAGCGCUUGCAACGCACAUAGAUUAUAUCCAGGAGGAUGCAGUCAAUACUUUCUGGGUCCUUUUUAGGUUUUGGGGGCUUUGCAACACGCUUUACACUGCCCCUCAUAAACCCGUCCUAACUGUGCGUUCCAGAAAAUGUGCAGUUUCUUAAGUUUAGGAAUUUUUUUUACGGCUUUUAUUUUGAAUGCUUGGAUUCUUAACUUCUGGUCCCAGUGCAGGUUCAUAAACAGACAUGGGGACAGAGGUCUGCCUGGCCAGAGCUUAGUUCUGAGGGACACGCUUCGGCCAUCCGGAGAGAGGGCCUGCUCCCCAGGCUGAGGAGACAACGGCCACGCCGGGGAGCACCACUCCCAGUCAGGGCCUAAAGCGUGGAGCCUGGGAAGAGGGGGCUUGCUCCUCCGCCUGCUCCUGGCAGUACACCCCAGGUCCCCCCGUUACCUAGGGAAUGGCGCUGAGCAGGGCAGGUCCCAGGGCGCCAUGGAGAGAAGGAUGUCAGCCGCAAAGCCCUUGGGCGACCAGGCCCAGAGCCGCCCACUUGGGACAAGCCGCCAGGAGCAAGGGCACAGCUUUCUUCUGGGUCUCGCAGGCCCCUGGCUCUGCACAAAUGGUGGGAGGGACCGAUCCUACCCUGGAACCGUAGAACCUCGUCCAGCUCUGAGUCAGGAGCCAUGGGGGCCAUGGCCUUCCGGGCCUGCUGACCUGAGUAAGGGUCCCAGCACCGCUUCCAAGGCCGGGACAAACGCCUGCUCCUAGUGGGUCCCGCGUUGUUCCCGCUUGUUAUCUAAGAGAUGCGGUCAGCCCUUCGGAAGCCCUCCGACCCCGCCCAACCCCCACACUUCUCCGGCCGCUGCUCCUCUUCCCCCAUUCAAGCCAGUCUGGCCUCCGGCUCUGUUCAGAGCAAGCCCAGCCUCCUUGUCAUGGACUGGAAGGACCCCUGGCUCCAGGCUCCCGUCCUGCUCACACCCAGGAGUGUGGGCCACGCACUCCCGGAACCUAACUGUGGGUGAAUGCUGGCCCUGGCUCCAGGCUCCCGUCCUGCUCACACCCAGGAGUGUGGGCUGUGCACUCCGGGAACCUAACUGGGGCUGGAGCUCGUCCUUGUCUCCUCUGACAUCAGCUGGACGCACCAUUUCUCUCCAAACCACAAACUCCCCUGAGCUGCCCUUUCUCUGGGAAUGCAUAGCUGUCGGGAUCCCCACGGGCUAUCACCUGCCAGGUUGAGGUCUGGCAGGAGUCUUCCUACCUCAUGACAAAGCUUCAACCCUCUCCAGCCAGGAGACACUUAACUCUGCUCAUUGCCCCUUUGAAGCUUGUGAUAUGAACAGACCCACAUCCAGUACCAUCUCUGCAUCAAAAAGCUUUGGUUACGAGUGAGGGAAAUCAGCUAAAACGCACUUAUGCAAAAAAGGGACAAAAUGAACUCUCAUUAACUGGACAGUUCAAAAAGGGGAGGCUUCAGGCAUGGCUCGAUCCAGAGGUCAAACUCCUGCUGGUUGCUCUUGGUCUCCGUCUUACUCUCAGUUGGUGUUCAGGGCCAUGCAUGUUGCCUCCACAUUUUGGCAAACAUGUACUCUGGGCCCUGGGGGCUGAAGUCAUCCACAGCUCUAGUGACUGCACACCUCAGCGACCUCUGCUUCCUCUGAGGUGAGCCUGGCAGGAGCACGUCCACAGGCAGUCACCAGAAAUGAAGCCACUCAGGACUGUCACAGAGCCACAAGUGUCCAAGCCAAAAAGUCAAAGUGUAAAAAGGAAGAGGGAGCCCCCUCCACCCCUGCCUGAGGUGUUUAAACAUGGCGAACACGGAUAACUAAAUGCCAUUCAAUCAAACCUUACUUUCUAUUCCUUCUCUGUCAUCGAGGGGCACAGCUCUGAGGGUAGAACAUUUAGCAUCUCAUUAACAAUGGCCGUGUGCUGCUGAAUAUCCGAGUGGGAAGCCAGAGUUUGCAGAGAAGCUUCGUGUGUGCUCCAGCCCAUCGAGUGCCUGUUUACGGAGCAGGUGACAGGAUUGAGGCUUCACCCGCUGCCUCCACAUGUACAGCCAUCGUGCAGGGCUCCUGCCGCGUUCAAAGGCAUUACGUUAUCUCUCAAGGGAAAGUCAUACUUUUAAAAUACAAAAUUCUCUUUUAUGCAGCAAAAUUGCUGUCAUACAUAUUUCAAUGGAAAAUUAAGUGUUGUAAUAAAAUAUAACAAGGAUGAUAAAGGCAUGUAGUAUUUUAUGCCAUCGAAUGCCAUUAUACCAUCCCAUACAAUAAAUUGGUACUGCUCUAAGUAACCUUCAAAACAAUUUAGUGCUA
rnacentral:lncRNA from 10 species